rnacentral:tRNA from 1 species
GCCUGGGUGGCUCAUUUGGUUAAGCGUCUGACUUUAGCGCAGGUCGUCAUCUCGCGGUUCGUGGGUUCGAGCCCCACCUUGGGCU